AGAGAGUUAAGCAAGAGGCCCCAUAUCAAUGAGCUUUCACUUGCAAUUCAAUAAUUAACUAUAACAAACACUAUAAAUUCAACCAAUUCAUUUUUUUCUAAAUUAAUUAUCCAUUAAUUUAUCAUUUAUCCAUAUGUAGAUUCUUAGGCUUCAAAUUAUUUUAUCUACUAUAAUCAUUCACUCACAAAUUAGCAAUAUAACAAAGUUUAAAAGUCUUGCCUAUUCUUUUUCAUCUUCUUUUUGAGAGGGGUGUUUUAUAGUCAAAUUUAAAUUU
rnacentral:lncRNA from 1 species